rnacentral:tRNA from 1 species
AAGUAAAAAGCAAAUAAUUGCAGUUAGUUUCGACCUAAAAGUCUGAUGUUCAGUCAUCUUUACUUU